rnacentral:lncRNA from 1 species
UCAUUAUUAUAACACUUCAUUUCCAACUCUUGUGGAGAACGCAGCAUCAUACAUUUUUAAUUUUUCAGGCAGACACGUUCCGUGCACACAGGAGUUUUAAUGGCGUGUUUCCCUGUUCCAGAGGAACCCCGGCCUGGAGGAUUGGGUGGCUCAAGGGGCCAAGCAGAGCUUUCCACUUGAUCCCAGCUCUGCUGGAAGCCGUCGCUGCCUCAGGCUGGCAGAGCCGUGACUCCAGGGAGGUUCUCAGCAUGAGGAGUAGAGGCUGAAAAGCAGAAGGGCUGAGGAGAGGAUACCUGGAGCACUGUGCAGCUGGGAAAGACAAGGAAAGGACAAUCCUGCGGAUUCUGGCUCACACACACUCCCAGGUCUACAACAUCAGAUGACUCUUAGCAGAUGCAAGAUGCUUCUGGAAGCCGAACAGUGGUUGUGUUUGAUUCAUCAUACCCUUUGGACCACCCUGUUUGUCCAUCACGCUUCUGUGCCACGCUGCACUGCAGUGGUGUUCUCAUCCAGGAGAGCCUGGCCAUGGACAACAGGAUCAACAAGCUUUGAAGAGCCUGAUCCAGGGGACACAGGGAGCCUUCAGGUCUCCGUUACCUUCCAGUUCCCCGCUGCCCCAGUUCAGCUGCCUCCAACAAGAGCUUGGGAAGUAUGA